GGCGUAAGCGCGCGCAGGCGGUUUCUUAAGUCUGAUGUGAAAGCCCACCCCUCAACCGUGGAGGGUCAUUGGAAACUGGGGAACUUGAGUGCAGAAGAGAAAAGCGGAAUUCCACGUGUAGCGGUGAAAUGCGUAGAGAUGUGGAGGAACACCAGUGGCGAAGGCGGCUUUUUGGUCUGUAACUGACGCUGAGGCGCGAAAGCGUGGGGAGCAAACAGAAUUAAAUACCCUGGUAUCCCACCCCGUAAACGAUGAGUGC
rnacentral:rRNA from 1 species